rnacentral:tRNA from 1 species
UGCGCUAUGCCGGAUAAUCGGGUUACUUUGAUGUAGUAAAUCAUGUUAGGUAGAACUUUCUGGCGCAU